GUGCUUGCUUCGGCAGUGCAUAUACUAAAAUUGGAACAAUACAAAGAUUAGCAUGGCCCCUGUGCAAGGAUGACAUGCAAAUUCAUGAAGCGUUCCAUAUUUUU
ensembl:snRNA U6 U6 spliceosomal RNA